rnacentral:rRNA from 1 species
AUUGAACGCUGGCGGCAGGCUUAACACAUGCAAGUCGAACGAGUGGCGGACGGGUGAGUAAUGCUUGGGAAACUGGCUUAUGGAGGGGGAUAACUCCUGGAAACUGUAGCUAAUACCGCGUACCAUCGGAUGUGCCCAAAUGGGAUUAGGUAGUUGGUGGGGUAAAGGAUCACCAAGCCGACGAUCCCUAGCUGGUCUGAGAGGAUGACCAGCCACACUGGAACUGAGACACGGUCCAGACUCCUACGGGAGGCAGCAGUGGGGAAUAUUGGACAAUGGGCGAAAGCCUGAUGCAGCCAUGCCGCGUGUGUGAAGAAGGUCUUCGGAGUGUAAAGCACUUUAAGUGGGGAGGCGUUACCAACAGAAUAAGCACCGGCUAACUUCGUGCCAGCAGCCGCGGUAAUUC